rnacentral:rRNA from 1 species
AUUGAACGCUGGCGGCAGGCUUAACACAUGCAAGUCGAACGCAUCCUUCGGGGUGAGUGGCAGACGGGUGAGUAACGCGUGGGAACGUGCCCUUCAGUUCGGGAUAACCCAGGGAAACUUGGGCUAAUACCGGAUACGUGCGAGAGCAGAAAGAUGUUAUCGCUGAAGGAUCGGCCCGCGUCUGAUUAGCUAGUUGGUGGGGUAAUGGCCCACCAAGGCGACGAUCCGUAGCUGGUCUGAGAGGAUGAUCAUCCAAAUUGGGACUGAUACACGGCCCAAACUCCUUCGGGAGGCAGCAGUGGGGAAUAUUGGACAAUGGUCGCAAGCCUUAUCCCGCCAUGCCGCGUGAGUGAUGAAGGCCUUAGGGUCGUAAAGCUCUUUCGUCCGGGACGAUAAUGACGGUACCGGAAGAAGAAGCCCCGGCUAACUUCGUGCCAGCCGCCGCCGUAA